CGUACUGUGGGGCAUCGGCGAGCCAAUCAAACUGUUCAUGCGAGUUCCUAGCUUCAAUGGCUGGCGCAUCUAAGAUGGUUCUAGGCACAAUCCUUGGCGGUAUGA
rnacentral:tRNA from 2 species